rnacentral:rRNA from 1 species
GACGAACCGUGCGAGCGUUAAUCGGAUUCAUUGGGCUUAAAGGGCGCGUAGGCGGCGGCGUAAGUUCGUGGUGAAAUCCCAUCGGCUCAACCGUGGAAUUGCUUCGAAUACUGCGUCGCUCGAGGGAGAUAGGGGACCGCAGAACUGCCGGUGGAGCGGUGAAAUGUGUUGAUAUCGGCGGGAAUGCCAGUGCCGAAAGGGGCGGUCUGGACCUCUUCUGACGCUGAGGCGCGAAAGCUAGGGGAGCGAACGGG